rnacentral:rRNA from 1 species
UAGGGAAUCUUCCACAAUGGGCGCAAGCCUGAUGGAGCAACACCGCGUGAGUGAAGAAGAGUUUCGGCUCGUAAAGCUCUGUUGUUAAAGAAGAACACGUAUGAGAGUAACUGUUCAUACGUUGACGGUAUUUAACCAGAAAGUCACGGCUAAAUACGUGCUAG